rnacentral:tRNA from 1 species
GCCCUUGUAGCUCAACGGAUUAGAGCACCAGCUUGCGGAGCUGGGAAUAGGGGUUCGAUUCCCUUCAGGGGCA